UCUGUAAUUUGCCCAUAAAACUCAUAAAACGUUUUAUCCACUUUGGGAGAAAAAUCGAGCCUUCAUUUUCCUGUCAAUGUCAAAAUCCUGUGAAAACAAAUUCCAGGCAGCUUCAACAGCAGGCAGCAGGGGAGGAUACUGAACCCACCAAUCCGACCGGACCAAGAUCAGUCAGCACACCACAGCUGUUGCCGAACUGGACACAGCCGCUGGGAGAAACAUCAAAGACAAGCAGUGCUAACAGAGCUGUUACUGCUGGAAAUGCUAACAGAGCUGUUACUACUGGAAAUGCUAACAGUGCUGUUACUGCUGGAAAUGCUAAUGGAGCUAGAACACCGGUACUGGAUGUGAAACCACUAUGACACCAGACGAAGUUCGGACAUUAACAACCGAUAACGAACCGACACAGCGCUAUAGAGUUACUUACCAGAUCACACAGUCCGACCAGAGAUCGAUUUCAGUGCGCUCUGGUUCAAUUUGAAAAGGCUUAAAGACGUUACUCAUCACUGUUUUGGCUGGAUGGAGCAAAGGCAGUUGGACCAUUACACAUCAUUUACCCAGAAUGCAUUGCAGUGUGAACAUGGUGACUUUCCUGUGACAAUAUUUUCUAAAAUGUAUAAAAACUAAGUAACAUACAGUAUUAUUACUGUAUUGUUUUUACAUCUAAAAUAAAUAUUUCCCAAAUAAA